AGCCAGCCAGGAAGGAGGAGGCAGCCAGAGAGGCCUCCACUGUUCUCUGCAGCAGAAGACCCCCUGCUGCCAGUUGUCAAGUCCAUCAACUCGCUGGGCACUUCUAGAUAAGCAACUAAGGUUAUCUGAAGGGAUCCAAUCAGCAUCUGACCCUGCAACCACCAUGCCUUGGAAGAACAGUGACAAUACAGCUUGUCUAAAGCGUGGUUGCUACAGAGACUACUGCUUGAUGCACCCUUUAAAAGAACAUAGACAGUUCCUGGUGGCCAAAUCCCGGUGCACAAACUUGCGUUCUGAGAGGUAGGCCAUGCCGGCGGCCACUUGUUUGGCAAUACAGAGCUGGUCGGUGCAAGAGAGAGCAAGCAAGUUAGGACUGGAGGGCCUGAUCCUUAUGUCAAGUACCAAUGAAGUGAACCAUGGCUGUGUUACACAAUUUGAUGGGGAAGCAUGGAAUAUGUGAAGUAAUCAUAAAAAUUAGGGGGUCUCUGAGCAUGAGCAGAAAGACCCUCGUCUUAGAGUAAUCACUCAGUUAACUCAUAUCUGGGAGUAAGGGGUGAACAUAGUUUUGAAGAACCAUGGCUGGUUUUGAAAACCAUGGGAAUAAGCUAAAAUGAUUACAUAAUGCAAUUGUGCAUUGCUCUGUAUGUAUUACUGAAGUAAGCAGCCUUAUGAAACCAAACCUUAAACCUGGGAAAAAGAAGUGUGAAACUGAGUAAGCAAUUUUAAUACAUUUACACUUUUGGUAUUCUAAUGGACAUUUCCAUCACAUCUGGUAUCUUUGCAUAGUGUAAGAGACUGAAUUUUGCUAGUGGCCUCACUCUUGCCCUUUUGGAGAAAAAGCAGACAACAUUUCACAUUGCAAAAACAUCUGGAUCUGGCUAAAAGAAGAGUGUGCACGUAAAAGGUUCUUAGGUCAAGUGAUGCUCAACAGUCCCACACCCCCACAACACAAAACUGAUGGAUUCUUUUGGCCUUUCCUAAUUUAUCCAACAUGGUGAUGAUAAACAAAGAGAUUGCUCCAACUGAUUGUCCACUUCCUGUUUCCUUUUUCUACUGCUGAAAUAUUGAGUCAAUUCAGUCUAACUAUAAACUCCAGAGUACCUAAAAAUGCUUUGGAUUCUGCAAAUGCACUUGAUAAUACUUCCUCAGAAAUAAACUUUGAUUUAAUUGAAUACAAGCUCCAAUCAUAUUUAGAUCGGAAGGUUCGGAACUACAUUAAUAUGAGGCAGGAAAAGGGCACAAUGUGCUGAUUUUACAUCGGUGUGUGUGUGUGUAUGAUAGAGAUAGAUAGAGAGAUAGAGAGAGAGAGAGAGAGAGAGAGAGAGAGAGAGAGAGAGACUAGACCAGGGUUGCUCAACCUCGGCCCUCCUGCAGAUGUUUGUCUACAACUCCCAUAAUCCCUGGCUAUUGGCCAGUGCACUACAGUGCACUAUUGGCCACUGUGGUUGAGGAGUAAGGGAGUUGUAGCCACCUAAUGGUGCAGCGGGGAAAUGACUUGAUUAGCAAGCCAGAGGUUUCCAGUUCAAAUCCCCGCUGGUAUGUUGGGAAACACCUAUAUUGGGUAGCAGCGAUAUAGGAAGGUGCUGAAAGGCAUCAUCUCAUACUGCGUGGGAGAAGGCAAAGCUAAACCCCUCCUGUAUUCUACCAAAGACAACCAUAGGGCUCUGUGGUCGCCAGGAGUCGACACCAACUCAAUGGCACACUUUACCUUUAGUCCAAAAACAGCUGGGGGGCCAAAGUUGAGCAGACCAGCACUCGACAUUAGCAGGAGGAGGAGAAAAAGAGCCCUGAGCAACAGCAGCUCUGUGUCUUUUGUAACAUCUAUUUCAGCCCUAAAUUUUCCCCCAAGAACCCAAAAUGAUAUCGCAGGUGAUUCUAGGUACACUCUCAGCUCACAUAGAAAGCCAGAUAUGUCUGAAGCAGCACCAGAACCCAGACUCAGUACUUUGCCUCUGGCAUGGAGGCUGUCUCUUGAACAGCGCCAUCAUCAAUGGCUGCCCAGUCUGUCCGUAUGAUUGAGCUGGCCUGUAAAAAGACAAACAAGCAAAAACACACUGAUAGAUUUUUGUUAGGGGGAAAAAGUUGGAUGUGGUACCCAAAAGUUUGACAAUGUUUGGAUUAUCAAAUUCGGCCAUGAGGGCUGCCUCCCUCUGAAAAUCAGCCUGCAUAUCCGCGGAAGCUUCUUCUUUCAGCAUCUUCACUGCCACCAUUGUGAAUGGCUCGUAUGGAAGCAGUCCAGGUGCCCUGAAGAGAAGGAAGGGGGAACAGGCAGAGGGGGAAACAUUAUGCAUGAAAAGGUCUAGGAGAACAUGAGCAGCACUAAACAGGAGUCUUACUUUUAUAAGCAUAAGCAGCCUGCAUUAUAUAAAGCCUGCAUCAUUUUCAGUCAUGUUGCAGGUUUCAGGAAGACUGUGAGGGUUCAUGUUUUAGAAAGCUUUUCUGUCAGCGGACUGAGCUUUUAUUCGGUUGACAACAACUUCUUAUAUGAUGCUGUUGCUACUGAUUGUUAUUUGGUUUGUGUUUAAUAUUGCUUUAAAUUGGUGUAAUUGUUUUUGAAGUUUAAAUUGAAUGUUAAAUUGUUGUCAGCCACCUUAGGGACUGUUUUGUGGCCAAAGGUUAGGUUAAAAAAUAGAACGAAUAAAGGAGCAUGGUUACAAUGAGCAUGCAAUUAAUGCUGUGCUCAAAUUAUGGGGAAACGGGUAGCAGGGCUCUGAAUGAAAUCCAAAAGCUCCACCAUCUGGUUCCUACCAAUUUGAC